AUGAACGCUAGCUACAGGCUUAACACAUGCAAGUCGAGGGGCAGCAUGAACUUAGCUUGCUAAGUUUGAUGGCGACCGGCGCACGGGUGAGUAACACGUAUCCAACCUGCCGAUGACUCGGGGAUAGCCUUUCGAAAGAAAGAUUAAUACCCGAUGGCAUAGUUCUUCCGCAUGGUGGAACUAUUAAAGAAUUUCGGUCAUCGAUGGGGAUGCGUUCCAUUAGGUUGUUGGCGGGGUAACGGCCCACCAAGCCUUCGAUGGAUAGGGGUUCUGAGAGGAAGGUCCCCCACAUUGGAACUGAGACACGGUCCAAACUCCUACGGGAGGCAGCAGUGAGGAAUAUUGGUCAAUGGACGAGAGUCUGAACCAGCCAAGUAGCGUGAAGGAUGACUGCCCUAUGGGUUGUAAACUUCUUUUAUACGGGAAUAAAGUGAGGCACGCGUGCCUUUUUGUAUGUACCGUAUGAAUAAGGAUCGGCUAACUCCGUGCCAGCAGCCGCGGUAAUACGGAGGAUCCGAGCGUUAUCCGGAUUUAUUGGGUUUAAAGGGAGCGUAGGCGGACGCUUAAGUCAGUUGUGAAAGUUUGCGGCUCAACCGUAAAAUUGCAGUUGAUACUGGGUGUCUUGAGUACAGUAGAGGCAGGCGGAAUUCGUGGUGUAGCGGUGAAAUGCUUAGAUAUCACGAAGAACUCCGAUUGCGAAGGCAGCCUGCUGGACUGUAACUGACGCUGAUGCUCGAAAGUGUGGGUAUCAAACAGGAUUAGAUACCCUGGUAGUCCACACAGUAAACGAUGAAUACUCGCUGUUUGCGAUAUACAGUAAGCGGCCAAGCGAAAGCGUUAAGUAUUCCACCUGGGGAGUACGCCGGCAACGGUGAAACUCAAAGGAAUUGACGGGGGCCCGCACAAGCGGUGGAGCAUGUGGUUUAAUUCGAAGCAACGCGAAGAACCUUACCAAGUCUUGACAUCCGCCUGACCGAUCCAUAACCGGAUCUUUCCUUCGGGACAGGCGAGACAGGUGGUGCAUGGUUGUCGUCAGCUCGUGUCGUGAGAUGUUGGGUUAAGUCCCGCAACGAGCGCAACCCCUAUCCUCAGUAGCCAGCAUUUAAGGUGGGCACUCUGGGGAGACUGCCAGGGAUAACCUGGAGGAAGGCGGGGAUGACGUCAAAUCAUCAUGCCCCUUAUGACUUGGGCUACACACGUGCUACAAUGGCGUAAACAAAGGGAAGCAAAGCUGUGAAGCCGAGCAAAUCUCAAAAAUAACGUCUCAGUUCGGACUGUAGUCUGCAACCCGACUACACGAAGCUGGAAUCGCUAGUAAUCGCAGGUCAGCAUACUGCGGUGAAUACGUUCCCGGGUCUUGUACACACCGCCCGUCACACCAUGGGAGUCAGUAACACCCGAAGCCGGUGACCUAACCGAAAGGAAGGAGCCGUCGAAGGUGGGACCGAUAACUGGGGUG
rnacentral:rRNA from 1 species